rnacentral:rRNA from 1 species
GUGAGGAAUAUUGGUCAAUGGACGGAAGUCUGAACCAGCCAUGCCGCGUGCAGGAAUAAGGUCCUAUGGAUUGUAAACUGCUUUUAUUCGGGAAUAAACCUCUUUACGUGUAGGGAGCUGAAGGUACCGAAGGAAUAAGCACCGGCUAACUCCGUGCCAGCAGCCGCGGUAAUACGGAGGGUGCAAGCGUUAUCCGGAAUCAUUGGGUGUAAAGGGUCCGCAGGCGGGCUAUCAAGUCAGAGGUGAAAUCCCACAGCUUAACUGUGGAACUGCCUUUGAAACUGAUGGGCUUGAAUUAAGUGGGCGUUGGCGGAAUAUGACAUGUAGCGGUGAAAUGCUUAGAUAUGAUGUAGAACACCGAUUGCGAAGGCAUCUCACUAAGCAAAUAUUGACGCUGAGGCACGAAAGCGUGGGGAUCAAACAGGAUUAGAAACCCCUGUAGUCC